AUUGAACGCUGGCGGCAGGCCUAACACAUGCAAGUCGAGCGGAUGAAGGGAGCUUGCUCCUGGAUUCAGCGGCGGACGGGUGAGUAAUGCCUAUGAAUCUGCCUGGUAGUGGGGGAUAACGUCCGGAAACGGGCGCUAAUACCGCAUACGUCCUGAGGGAGAAAGUGGGGGAUCUUCGGACCUCACGCUAUCAGAUGAGCCUAGGUCGGAUUAGCUAGUUGGUGGGGUAAAGGCCUACCAAGGCGACGAUCCGUAACUGGUCUGAGAGGAUGAUCAGUCACACUGGAACUGAGACACGGUCCAGACUCCUACGGGAGGCAGCAGUGGGGAAUAUUGGGCAAUGGGCGAAAGCCUGAUCCAGCGAUGCCGCGUGUGUGAAGAAGGUCUUCGGAUUGUAAAGCACUUUAAGUUGGGAGGAAGGGCAGUAAGUUAAUACCUUGCUGUUUUGACGUUACCAACAGAAUAAGCACCGGCUAACUUCGUG
rnacentral:rRNA from 1 species